UGAAAUGAUGAUAACCAAAACAACAACAACAUGAAUUUCUUCAACCGAUUAUAAUAUGAGGAAUCAAACUUUGACAGCUUUUUAACCCUGAUA
rfam:Lachancea nothofagi CBS 11611 genome assembly, chromosome: F